UUGAACGCUGGCGGCAUGCUUUACACAUGCAAGUCGAACGGCAGCGCGGGCUUCGGCCUGGCGGCGAGUGGCGAACGGGUGAGUAAUACAUCGGAACGUGCCCAGUAGUGGGGGAUAGCUCGGCGAAAGCCGGAUUAAUACCGCAUACGACCUGAGGGUGAAAGCGGGGGAUCUUCGGACCUCGCGCUAUUGGAGCGGCCGAUGGCAGAUUAGCUAGUUGGUGGGGUAAAGGCCUACCAAGGCGACGAUCUGUAGCUGGUCUGAGAGGACGACCAGCCACACUGGGACUGAGACACGGCCCAGACUCCUACGGGAGGCAGCAGUGGGGAAUUUUGGACAAUGGGCGAAAGCCUGAUCCAGCAAUGCCGCGUGUGUGAUGAAGGCCUUCGGGUUGUAAAGCACUUUUGGCGGGAACGAAAAGGACUGUGCCAAUACCACGGUUCGAUGACGGUACCCGCAGAAUAAGCACCGGCUAACUACGUG
rnacentral:rRNA from 1 species